UAUUUAAUAAAUUGCAAGUUUAUUAGAUCAUAUAUUUGUAUCAUAAUAUUCAUUCUAUAGUUAGAAGUAUAGAUAAAUUAAAUGGCAAAACAUUUAUUAAUAAUUAUAAGAAAGCAAUAAGUAUAAAAAAUAAAAUUAAUCCACUAAUAGUUAUCAUACCACCAGCAGUGAAAAAUCCAGGAUCAUAAGAUUGAAGUACAUCAUAUAACCAUCCUAAAAUUAUGAAUUAUAAAAAGGUUAAGAAAAUAAAACUUAUGACUUAAAACAUUGUAGACACACCUGCAAUGGGUGGUCCUAAAAGUGAUGCAAAACCUUGAAAUAGUAAAAGCUGUCCAAAAGCAUUGGUAAGACGAUUUAAACCCAAUAAAUCUACUAAAAUCACAGAUGUAAGACCAACAUAAGCGCCAGACGUGAAUCCAAAUAUAGAGGAAUAAAGUGUGAAUGAGGCAAAAGAUGUGCAGAAUGCACUAAGAGUUGUAGCUGGAAAAAUACGCAAAGAUUAAAUAUCAUGCACGAUUUUCAAUUAGAUAUUAAUCUAUUAAUACUAUUUAAGAGGUUUGAUUAAAUUUUAUAAAUAAUAACAAAAGUAAUACUUACAAAUGCCACAUAUAGUAAGACAUAAAUUAUAUAUUAAUAGUCGAUUAACCCAUGGCUUGUCUGAAACAUAUCCUAAGAUUAUACGACCAACUGUAUUAGCAAUUCCGAUUAUUGCAAGAAGAUAACUUGCAUCCUUUUUAUUAAUUCCUCGUUCUUCAGCUUGAGGCUAUAAUCAAUAUUUUCAUGAAAUAUAGCAUAAUCAUAAAUAUAUUAAGAAUUAUAACUUUUAUAAUACACAGUCUUUGUAAAAAUAUGUUAAACAAAAGUCGUUUAUAAACAAAUUAAAUAGUUUCUGUUAUCAAAAGAUUAAAAACAUUUUUAAUAAAAGCAAGUAUAUAUACCAAUACAUAGAUAUAUGGUAUAUAAAAUCCAAUACUGGUGCAGAAAUUAGAGAAAGUAAAUAAUAUAAAUACUGGAUCUUUUAAUAGAGAAAUGGUUACAUCUUCUUGAAAGGCAUUGAGCUUUCUGUCAAUACUAAUUUUAAAUUCUUUAUUACCAGCUUUUAUAUAAUCUAUUUUAUUAGGUAAACUUGUAGAGGACUUAUGAAUAUGAAAGAUUUCUUCGCUAUAUCCUUGCAUUAAAUUAGGGCUGUAAAUAAGAACUACGUGUUAAUAAUAAUCAUAUUAGAAAGUUACAAAAUUUUAUAUUUUA